GGCAAACGGGUGCGGAACACGUACACAACCUUCCUUUAAGUGGGGAAUAGCCCAGAGAAAUUUGGAUUAAUACCCCGUAACACAACGAAGUGGCAUCACUUUGUUGUUAUAGUUUCGGCGCUUAAUGAUGGGUGUGCGUAUGAUUAGAUAGUUGGCGAGGUAACGGCUCACCAAGUCUACGAUCAUUAGCUGAUGUGAGAGCAUGAUCAGCCACACGGGCACUGAGACACGGGCCCGACUCCUACGGGAGGCAGCAGUAAGGAAUAUUGGUCAAUGGACGCAAGUCUGAACCAGCCAUGCCGCGUGAAGGAUUAAGGUCCUUGGAUUGUAAACUUCUUUUAUAUGGGACGAAAAAAGGUCUUUCUAGACCCCUUGACGGUACCAUAUGAAUAAGCACCGGCUAACUCCGUGCCAGCAGCCGCGGUAAUACGGAGGGUGCAAGCGUUAUCCGGAUUCACUGGGUUUAAAGGGUGCGUAGGCGGGUAGGUAAGUCAGUGGUGAAAUCCUGGAGCUCAACUCCAGAACUGCCAUUGAUACUAUCUAUCUUGAAUAUUGUGGAGGUAAGCGGAAUAUGUCAUGUAGCGGUGAAAUGCUUAGAUAUGACAUAGAACACCCAUUGCGAAGGCAGCUUACUACGCAUAUAUUGACGCUGAGGCACGAAAGCGUGCGGAUCAAACAGGAUUAGAUACCCUGGUAGUCCACGCCCUAAACUAUGGAUACUCGACAUAUGCGAUACACUGUAUGUGUCUGAGCGAAAGCAUUAAGUAUCCCACCUGGGAAGUACGUUCGCAAGAAUGAAACUCAAAGGAAUUGGCGGGGGUCCGCACAAG
rnacentral:rRNA from 1 species